GUGGGGAAUAUUGGACAAUGGGCGAAAGCCUGAUCCAGCCAUGCCGCGUGUGUGAAGAAGGUCUUCGGAUUGUAAAGCACUUUAAGUUGGGAGGAAGGGCAGUAAGUUAAUACCUUGCUGUUUUGACGUUACCGACAGAAUAAGCACCGGCUAACUUCGUGCCAGCAGCCGCGGUAAUACGAAGGGUGCAAGCGUUAAUCGGAAUUACUGGGCGUAAAGCGCGCGUAGGUGGUUUUGUAAGUUGGAGGUGAAAUCCCCGGGCUCAACCUGGGAACUGCCUCCAAAACUGCAUGACUAGAGUACGGUAGAGGGUAGUGGAAUUUCCUGUGUAGCGGUGAAAUACGUAGAUAUAGGAAGGAACACCAGUGGCGAAGGCGACUACCUGGACUGAUACUGACACUGAGGUGCGAAAGCGUGGGGAGCAAACAGGAUUAGAAACCCCGGUAGUCC
rnacentral:rRNA from 1 species